rnacentral:misc_RNA from 1 species
AAGGAUCAUUAAAGAAAUUUAAUUGAUUUGUCUGAGCUCGGAGAGAGACAUCUCUGGGGAGGACCAGUGUAGACACUCAGGAGGCUCCUAAAAUAUUUUCUCUGCUGUGAAUGCUAUUUCUCCUGCCUGCGCUUAAGUGCGCGGUUGGUGGGUGUUCUGCAGUGGGGGGAGGGAGCCGACAAAGACCUGGGAGUGUGCGUGGAUCUCUCUAUUCCAAAGGAGGUGUUUUAUCACACGACUCGACACUUUCUAAUUACUACACACAGUGGAGUUUACUUUACUACUAUUCUUUUGUUCGUUGGGGGAACGCUCUCUUUCGGGAGGGAGUUCUCCCAGUGGAUGCAAACACAAACAAAUAUUUUUUUAAACUAAUUCAGUCAACACAAGAUUUCUUUUAGUAGAAAACAACUUCAAAACUUUCAACAAUGGAUCUCUUGGUUCUCGCAUCGAUGAAGAACGCAGCGAAAUGCGAUACGUAAUGUGAAUUGCAGAAUUCCGUGAAUCAUCGAAUCUUUGAACGCACAUUGCGCCCUCUGGUAUUCCGGGGGGCAUGCCUGUUUGAGCGUCAUUUCCUUCUCAAACACGUUGUGUUUGGUAGUGAGUGAUACUCUCGUUUUUGAGUUAACUUGAAAUUGUAGGCCAUAUCAGUAUGUGGG